rnacentral:piRNA from 1 species
GCAGAAGGGCCUAGCCUUAGAGUCCACUGG